rnacentral:lncRNA from 1 species
AAUUCAUCUGGAAUAACAAAAAACCGAGGAUAGCAAAAACUCUUCUCAAGGAUAAAAGAACCUCUGGUGGAAUCACCAUGCCUGACCUAAAGCUUUACUACAGAGCAAUUGUGAUAAAAACUGCAUGGUACUGGUAUAGAGACAGACAAGUGGACCAAUGGAAUAGAAUUGAAGACCCAGAAAUGAACCCACACACCUAUGGUCACUUGAUCUUCGACAAGGGAGCCAAAACCAUCCAGUGGAAGAAAGACAGCAUUUUCAACAAUUGGUGCUGGCACAACUGGUUGUUAUCAUGUAGAAGAAUGCGAAUCGAUCCAUACUUAUCUCCUUGUACUAAGGUCAAAUCUAAGUGGAUCAAGGAACUUCACAUAAAACCAGAGACACUGAAACUUAUAGAGGAGAAAGUGGGGAAAAGCCUUGAAGAUAUGGGCACAGGGGAAAAAUUCCUGAACAGAACAGCAAUGGCUUGUGCUGUAAGAUCGAGAAUUGACAAAUGGGACCUAAUGAAACUCCAAAGUUUCUGCAAGGCAAAAGACACUGUCUAUAAGACAAAAAGACCACCAACAGACUGGGAAAGGAUCUUUACCUAUCCUAAAUCAGAUAGGGGACUAAUAUCCAACAUAUAUAAAGAACUCAAGAAGGUGGACCUCAGAAAAUCAAAUAACCCCCUUAAAAAAUGGGGCUCAGAACUGAACAAAGAAUUCUCACCUGAGGAAUACCGAAUGGCAGAGAAGCACCUGAAAAAAUGUUCAACAUCCUUAAUCAUCAGGGAAAUGCAAAUCAAAACAACCCUGAGAUUCCACCUCACACCAGUGAGAAUGGCUAAGAUCAAAAAUUCAGGUGACAGCAGAUGCUGGCGAGGAUGUGGAGAAAGAGGAACACUCCUCCAUUGUUGGUGGGAUUGCAGGCUUGUACAACCACUCUGGAAAUCAGUCUGGCGGUUCCUCAGAAAAUUGGACAUAGUACUACCGGAGGAUCCAGCAAUACCUCUCCUGGGCAUAUAUCCAGAAGAAGCCCCAACUGGUAAGAAGGACACAUGCUCCACUAUGUUCAUAGCAGCCUUAUUUAUAAUAGCCAGAAACUGGAAAGAACCCAGAUGCCCCUCAACAGAGGAAUGGAUACAGAAAAUGUGGUACAUCUACACAAUG